ACGGUCACUCGCGUUGAAACACAGGUUCCCGUACGAAGUUAAGCAACACUGUGUCUGCUCAGUACCUAGAUGAGUGACUGCUUGGGAAUACCAAGUGCUGUAAG